rnacentral:lncRNA from 1 species
UUUAAUGUUUAUAUUUCUAUAUACAUUGAUGUAUAUGACCAUAUAUGCACUUAUUAUUAGUUUAUAAAUUUAUUAACAUAUAUGUACACUGAUUUAUAUACUACACACACACUCUCACACUCAUACUCACACUCACACUCACACUCGCACAUUUGUUAUCAACUAUAUAUAUAGUUAUUAGUGUGUAAAAAUAAUAUUGAUGUGUGUGUGCGAUGCUGUAUAGAUGCGAUGAGUAUAUGUUGAUAUGUUUGUGUAUAGUGCAUAGUGUGUAAAAUGCAUAAUUGUAUAUAUACAUUUAUUAGUGUGUUAAAAUAUAUACAUUUCUAUAUACAUUGAUGUAUUUGACCAUAUAUAUACUUAUUAUCAGUUUAUACGGUUAGUAACCUAUAUGUUCAUUGAUUUAUAUACUACACACACACAUAUAUACACAAACACACACCCACACACACACACUCACACUCACACAGACACUAACACUGACACUGACACUCACAGAUAUGUAUACUACACAUAUGCGUGGUGUGUAUGGACUGAUGUGUGUAUAUUUACGAUAUGUAUAUGCAUAUGUUUUUACAUAUAUGUAUACAGUUGCUUGCUAUCAGUUAUAUACAAUUAUCGAUGUAUAUAUGCACUGUUAUGCGUACGCACAUGUACCCUAAUGCCUGGAUAAGUGCAUAUAUAAUGUGUAUGUAUACACUAAUACAUGCAUUCUAUAUACACUGAUAUAUUUGACCAUAUUAACUAUUAUUAGUAGUUUAUAUGUAUAUACUGUGUGCGUUAAAUGAUAUGUAUUUAUUUAUAUGUUUAUGUAUAUAUAUAACCUUGCUAUCAGUUAUAUAUGCACUAAUGUGCGACACACAUGGGCACCCUCACGUAUUGAUAGUGCAUACAUUCAUUUCUAUAUACACUGAUAUAUAUGACCAUAUAUGACACUUAUUAUCAGUUUAUACAGUUAUUAGUAUAUAUGUACAAUGAAAUGUAUAUACGCACAUUCAUAUGCAUAUGUAUAAAGGGUUUAUAUGUACACGUAUGUAAAAGACCAUGUAUAUACUUAUUAUCAGUGAUAUAUACAGUUAUUCGCUCAAUUUGUGUACGAAUUGAUGUAUAGUAAUAUAGACCAUUGUUUUCAAUAUAUAUAUACAUACUGAUGCAUAUAACCAUACAAUACAUUAGUUAUCUGCUACAUAUAUAGUUAUUAGUGUGUAAAAAAUACAUUGAUAUGUGUGUAUGUAUGCAUGUGAUGUCUGUAUAUAUACGCUGUGUAUAUACUGAUAUGUGUGUAUGUUUAAAGUGCGUAACUGUAUAUAUACAAUACAUUAAUAUAUACAUUAGUAUAUAUGACGAUAUAUACGGUAUUUAUCAGUUUAUACAGUUAUUAACAUAUAUGUAUACUACACACACACUCGCACUCACACUCACCCACACACACACACUGGCACUCACACUCACAUUCACACUCACACUCACACUCACACUCACAGAUAUAUAUACUACACAUAUGCGUGGUGUAUAGGGACUGAUGUGUGUAUAUAUAAUACGAUAUGUAUAUACUGAUAUUGUUAUGUGUAUGUAAACAAUUGCUUGUUAUCAGUUAUAUACAAUUAUCAAUAUAUGUAUGCACUAAUAUAUGCUCGCACAUGCACCUUUACGCGUUGAUAAGUACAUAUAUACUGUGUAUGUAUACACUAAUACAUGCAUUCUUUUAUACACUGAUAUAUAUGACCAUAAGGAUAUAUAUUGACAGUUUAUAUAUACACAGUGUGUAUAUAUACGAUAUGUAUAUACUGAUAUGUUUAUACGUGUAUGUAUAAACUUGUUGUCUGUUAUAUAUACACUGAUAUGCGUACGCACAUGCACCCUUACGCAUUAAUAGUGCAUAUAUACAUUUUUAUAUACGUCGAUGUUUAUGACCAUGUAUACACUUUUUAUCAGUUUAUACAGUUAUUAGCGUAGAUGUACAUUGAUAUGUAUAUGAAAGCACAGGUGGCAGUUGUAGCCAACAAGGUAAAGGGACAGAUCCCCCUGCCCCCUCCUUUUUGAUUAUUUUCCUCUCAAUUCUUACCAUUCGAAUCAUUAUCUUUUCUGUGAAUGAUUUUUCCUACCAUAUACAAUUUCCAAAUUGUGAUAAAAUCAGGUAUUAUAGAAGGAGAUUAUUUCUUCUGGUUAUCACCUCUAAUCAAAUAAGCCUAGGCGAAAUUCCAUAUUACUUUGUAUAGAAUUAGGCAUAAGAAUGGGUUUCUUCUCUUGAUGUAUUAGGUAUGCUAAAAUACCCAAUUGCGAUAGUCCAUCUAAAGUUUUUAUCAUAUAUCUAUACUUGUUUUUAUUAUUGUUGAUGAGCUUCAUCUUCAUUGAGUUUGCUUGUAAUUCAACAAGCAUGAAUGCAACUUGUCAUCGAGGCGGAUCUCUUUACGUUUUUUGAUAUUUAAGAUCUUGAACUUGAAAGCUUGAUUUGCUUAAUGGUUCUUUCUUCUAUAGUAUAGUACUGCUCUUGCCUCUGUCAUGCAAAUACGGAGUAAAUUUUCUGGAGUUUUACUUGUGGUUUACAAUUUAUUAAGUCACUUUUUCUUAACACGUACACAUACACACACACAACACACACCACACACUCACACACACACAUACACAUUCACACACAAACUAAAACUCACACUCACACACACACACACACUCACACACACAUUCACACUCACACUCGCUCUCACACUCACAAUGUACAUAUAAACGACAUGUAUAUACUGAUAUAUUCAGUGUGCAUAUAAAGGAUAUGUGCAUAUAAAGGAUAUGUAUAUAUUGAUAUGUUUAUACAUGUAUAUAUAAACUUGCUAUUAGUUAUAUGUACACUGAUAUGCGACGCAUAUGCACCUUUACGCAUUGAUAGUAUAUACAUACAUUUUUAUAUACACUGAUAUAUAUGACCAUAUAGAAAUUUAUUAUUUGUUUAUACAGUAAUGAGUGUAUAUGUACACUGAAAUGUAUAUACGCACACUCAUAUGCAUAUUUAUAAAGGGUUUAUAUAUGCACUAAUGUAUAAGAUCAUGUAUAUACUUAUUAUCUGUGAUGUAUACAGUUAUAAGCUCAAUUUGUGUAUAUAUAUGUAUAGCAAUAUAUAUCAUUGUUUUCAGUGCAUAUAUAUUGAUGUGUAUAAAGCAUACAAUACAUUAGUUAUCUGUAAUAUAUACAGUUAUUAGUGUGUAAAAAAUACAUUGAUAUGUGUGUGUGAUAUCUGUAUAUAUACGAUGUGCUUAUAUUUGAUAUGUGUGUAUGUGUAAAGUGCAUAAAGUUUUAUAUACAGUACAUUAAUGUAUAAAUUUUUUUAUACAUUGAUAUAUAUGAUCAUAUAUACACUUAUUAUCAGUUUAUACAGCUAUUAACGCAUAUAUACACUGAUUUAUAUACUACACACACACUCACACUCACACUCACACUCACAUAUAUAUAUACUACACAUGUGCGUGUUGUGUAUGGAUACAGUUGCUUGCUAUCUGUUAUAUACAUUGAUAUGCGCACUCACAUGGACCCUUACGCGUUGAUAAGUGGAUAUAUAUUAUAUAUGUAUACAGUGUCUAUAU